rnacentral:tRNA from 1 species
AGGCGUUUGGCUCAGCGGUAGAAAGCCUGCCUUACAAACACGAUCUCGCUGGUUCUAUCCCGGCAUCGCUAAUCA